AUUGAACGCUGGCGGCAUGCCUUACACAUGCAAGUCGAACGGUAACGGGCCUUCGGGUGCCGACGAGUGGCGAACGGGUGAGUAAUGCAUCGGAACGUACCUUUCAGUGGGGGAUAACGUAGCGAAAGUUACGCUAAUACCGCAUAUUCUGUGAGCAGGAAAGCAGGGGAUCGCAAGACCUUGCGCUGAUUGAGCGGCCGAUGUCAGAUUAGCUAGUUGGUGAGGUAAAGGCUCACCAAGGCGACGAUCUGUAGCGGGUCUGAGAGGAUGAUCCGCCACACUGGAACUGAGACACGGUCCAGACUCCUACGGGAGGCAGCAGUGGGGAAUUUUGGACAAUGGGGGCAACCCUGAUCCAGCCAAGCCGCGUGAGUGAAGAAGGCCU
rnacentral:rRNA from 1 species